rnacentral:rRNA from 1 species
ACGGAAGGCAGCAGUGAGGAAUAUUGGUCAAUGGGCGGAAGCCUGAACCAGCCAAGUCGCGUGAAGGAUGAAGGUAUUAUGUAUUGUAAACUUCUUUAGCAGCAGAGUAAUAAGGAGGUCGUGACCUCCGAUGCAAGUAUGCUGAAAAUAAGGAUCGGCUAACUCCGUGCCAGCAGCCGCGGUAAUACGGAGGAUCCGAGCGUUAUCCGGAUUUAUUGGGUUUAAAGGGUGCGCAGGCGGCCCUGUAAGUCAGCGGUUAGAUCGUGAGGCUCAACCUCAUCCCGCCGUUGAUACUGCAGGGCUUGAUUGCGGUCGAGGUUGGCGGAAUUCGUCGUGUAGCGGUGAAAUGCAUAGAUAUGACGAAGAACACCGAUUGCGUAGGCAGCUGACCAGACCGUAAAUGACGCUCAUGCACGAAAGUGCGGGGAUCGAACAGGAUUAGAUACCCUGGUA